rnacentral:lncRNA from 10 species
CCAGAAACUCACUGGAGGUCUUUAGGGGCUUGGGAGGCGUGGUGGGCUGGUCCCCGUCUUCUCCUUCCUUCUCUGUGGCCACUUCAGCCUCUGUGAGGCUUUCUUUCGGGGUCUCCUCUUCUGACGAUAGACAGAACGGUCAGAUGGCAAAAAAAUCCCAUUGAACCUACAAGGGCAUUUUGACUCUGGAGACAGUCUGCCCUCAUCUGUCAUCUGUUCUUUUUUUUGAGACAGAGUUUCGUUCUUACCGCCCAGGCUGGAGUGCAAUGGUGUGAUCUUGGCUCACUGCAACCUCUGCCUCCUGGGUUCAUGCGAUUCUCCUGCCUCAGCCUCCCGAGUAGCUGGGAUGACAGGCGCCCACCACCACAUCCAGCUAUUUUUUUGUAUUUUUAGUAGAGAUGGGAUUUCACCAUGUUGGCCAGGCUGGUCUUGAACUACUGACCUCAGGUGAGCCACCCGCCUUGGCCUCCCAAAGUGCAGGUCUUACAGUUCUAUCUUGUGCCAAUCCAAUGUGCCUGUAAAGCAGUGGGCCACGUAAGACCCUCACUUUGGGAGGCCGAGGUGGGUGGAUCACUUGAGGUCAGGAGUUCGAGACCAGCCUGGCCAGCAUGGUGAAACCUCAUCUCUACUAAAAAUAC